UCGAGGAUCUUCGGCAAUGGGCGCAAGCCUGACCGAGCGACGCCGCGUGUGCGAUGAAGGCCUUCGGGUUGUAAAGCACUGUCGAGGGGGAGGAAGCCGCAAGGUUGACCUAUCCCUGGAGGAAGCACGGGCUAAGUUCGUGCCAGCAGCCGCGGUAAGACGAACCGUGCGAACGUUGUUCGGAAUCACUGGGCUUAAAGGGCGCGUAGGCGGGUUUUCAAGUCUGUGGUGAAAUCCUCCAGCUUAACUGGAGAAGUGCCGUGGAUACUGGGGACCUCGAGGUGGGUAGGGGCAUCUGGAACAGCCGGUGGAGCGGUGAAAUGCGUUGAUAUCGGCUGGAACUCCGAUGGCGAAGGCAAGGUGCUGGACCCUCUCUGACGCUGAGGCGCGAAAGCCAGGGGAGCGAACGGGAUUAGAUACCCCCGUAGUCC
rnacentral:rRNA from 1 species